rnacentral:tRNA from 1 species
GCCCGGGUGGUGGAACGGUAGACACGAGGGACUUAAAAUCCCUUGGUCCGCAAGGGCCGUGCGGGUUCAAGUCCCGCCCCGGGCACCA